AAUCCUUCCUCCAGGGAUGUGUUGGAUCCGAAAGAACCAGUCCAAGCUCUAAACGAAUCUUAAAAUACAAGUAAUAAAUUAUAUUUUUGGUUUCAAGGUUAUCAAUCUGCAACGAUUAAAAUAUCUUCAGCAUUAACAGCUGAAUUAGUUUGCAGGAAGUGGUGACAUGAUCAGGGUUUUGAGAGUUUACAGCAAUGGGAUAGCACAAACUGAUGAGUGCAGGCAUAAAACAUCUCAACCAAAAUAAGACUUAGAUCUAGGCAAAAUAAUCCAUCUGGUCACUGAUAACUCUAUGACACACCCAAUAGAAGGCAUAUCGAUGAAGUUUGUUA
rnacentral:misc_RNA from 1 species